rnacentral:rRNA from 1 species
UACGAAGGGGGCGAGCGUUGUUCGGAAUUACUGGGCGUAAAGGGCGCGCAGGCGGUCCUUCAAGUCAGAUGUGAAAGCCCCGGGCUCAACCUGGGAACUGCACUUGAUACGUAUGGACUGGAGUGGGGAAGAGGGUCGUGGAAUUCCCAGUGUAGAGGUGAAAUUCGUAGAUAUUGGGAAGAACACCGGUGGCGAAGGCGGCGACCUGGUCCUUGACUGACGCUGAGGCGCGAAAGCGUGGGGAGCAAACAGG